ensembl:lncRNA
AAGGACACACACACACACACACACACACACACACACACACACACACACACACACACACACGGCCCUGUUGCUGUGAGAAGCCAUUAUGCAGACGCACAAAGGCAGAAACACAUACUCAGACGCAAGCAAAUGCAUAAACACAAACAUGCGUGAUUAGAAACACGCACGCACGCACGCACUCACAUACAGACAAACACACAGUCCAUGUUCAUGCUGGGUCUAGGAGGUCCUGUUCUGAUGGAGGAAGGGAACAGGAUGGAAAGAGGGGCAUACACAACAACAGCGCGUGACGUCUUUGAGGUCCAUGUUGCCAAGGACUGGCUCCAUCCCUACAAGGACGGAUCCUGACACAAUCUCACCAAGACACGCCCGCUGUUUUACGACCGGCCCACGCACUGUUUAUCCGUGUUCAUGCCACUCACGCCGCAAUAAACCGCUUAAACGCACAUCUGGGAGCAACCAUUAGACACACCAAACGAGAGGCUCGACAAUGGAGCUUCAGUCCACCUGCAAUCCAGGGUCCGACGGCUGAUGCAACCCAAAGCAAGAAGGCAGGCUCUGCUUCGCCACCUGACAACACACGGUUCCCCGCACAGAGCACACGUGGUGGCUGACUUCCCACCGCUUACAGAGGGCAUUCACACGCCAUUGAUGGGAAGCUGUGUGCAGGCCUCCCCGUCUGCUUUCAGUUCUUCAUUUCACGGAUAGUGAGGUUAAUGAAGGCAUAUGAUUAUGCCUCAUGCUAUGACACAUCGUUGUCGUUGCGACAUUGCAGAGCCGAGAGUUCCCUUUGAAGGGAAUCACGUAGUGUUGACAAUUCUUACAUAAUUACAUUUCUGACAGUGCUGUACUUUCCACUAGAAUGUGGUCUGGCGAUCAACCUAAUUUAUUUUUCUGCAUUUGCCUGGAAUAGAGCAAAUAAUACAUGUAUAUGACUACCCUCGCAAAACAAUGCUUUAAACUAAUAAUACUUUACGUUGCUAUUGUUAUUAUUAUGACAAUGCAUAUUUUAAUAUUUACUACUAUUAUUACUUGCACUUGUUAUUGUUGGAUCUUGUUAUUGUUGGAAAAUGCAAGACACAACUGAGUUAUAUGUUUGUCGGCAUAAAGGUCAGGACAUUAGAACCUAAUCGAAUCAGCCGAGAAAAAAAAAAAAAGAGACAGAGAGACAGAGAGACAGAGAGACAGAGAGAGAGAGAGAGAGAGAGAGAGACAGAGACAGAGACAGAGACAGAGAGAGAGAGAGAGAGAGAGAGAGACUAGGAAGACCCGGGAGACAAAGAGAAAGGGGCCUGGUUUGUAUUUUGUUGUUGCUGUUUGGAAGCACUCACAUCUGAACAAUGUCAGACGGCUAUUAUUAACUCUCUGCACUAUGCAGUCGUCCUUUUCCUCUUCAGGAUAUUAUCGAUCCUCAGUCUCUUUCCCUACGUGAGGCUGGGCGUCUCAUGCGGUCCAUGCCCUGAGAUCGUAACACAAUAACACAUGUGGAUCUUCUCAGAAAAAGCACCGCGCUUUUUAGGCCUUGCAGGGAAAGGGGGUCGGGGAGGGAGGUGUUGCUGUAGCGAUGCAUGCCUCUAUCAUGAAAGCAAGUCGAUGUUGGACACCAGUAGGAGUAUGUGGAGAACGGGGCUGGAGGAGGAGGGGCCGCCCGCUGAUGGUGGCGGUGGUCUCCCAGCUGGAGACACACGUGUGCUCUCCAGCUAUGCUCCGGAAAACACCCGCAUUAUGUAACAGGACCGCCUCGCACACAUACAGAUGGUGGAGGGAUGGACGGAUAGACGGACAGACUUGUGCAUCAGGAUUUACAAUGAAUUCACCCAUAAGAAUUCACCCAUUCACACAGCGAGGGGGAUCUCUGUAAUUGUUCAACUCAUCCUGCUUUAAUAGAAGAGAACUCCACAACGAACACUAACACCGUGGAGCAACAGUGUAACAGUACAACUGUGGUUGUCCCUCUCUCCCCCCCCUCCCCGAACAUCACAUCUGGACCCCUGCAAUGCACGCUGUGUUACCCUGCGAGCCUUGAGGACGGGAGACAAAGGCUGGUGGGCCAAAGGGCACCAGUCCAAAGUGUACACAAAGAAUUUGAACAGCUGCUUGGGACAGGAAAUAGGAAGAAAUGUGAGAAUGCAGUACACUGCAAACCAUGUGUCUAACAGUACGGCUAGCAAGGCAUAUCUACUGCCAUGUCUGGGAUAGUGUGUUACACAUCUUCAAAUUCAACUUUAGAAUCUACGCAUAAAUUAAACCCCAGGUUCUUGACUUCCUGUACAUGUGUCUGUCUGUCUGUCUGUCUGUCUGUCUGUCUGUCUGUCUGUCUGUCUGUCUGUCUGUCUGUCUGUCUGUCUGUCUGUCUGUCUGUCAGAGAUGUGUUGCAUUUCAUCAUACUCUUAUCAUUGGAUGAAGAUCGAGAUCAAGUUAAAAAAGCAAAUUCUUCUAUGACAAACGACAAAAGAAGAAGUCAGAAACUAUUCAUUUUGAUUUGGCUUGACCACAACUGUUCGGUCAGUGGGUUUGAGAACUCAAAGAAAAGCCUAUCCGCCAGACACAGGGGUGCUACCGUUGGGGGGGCUAUUUAUAUAAAAUGAGUGGAGUUACCAUUCACAACCCCUAAUUCGUUUUGGUUUUCUAGCAAAGAACCGUGUCACAUGCACGGUCCAGACAUGGUCCUAUCUUUAGACAUCCUGUGUGCUCUCACCCAGCAGGAGAGAGGCAUUGGUAACCCAGUCCAUAGAGAAGGGGUGUGUGUGUGUGUGUGUGUGUGUGUGUGUGUGUGUGUGUGUGUGUGUGUGUGUGUGUGUGUGUGUGUGUGUGUGUGUCUAGCAAUUAAAAUUAGAGUUGUGAAUCCAUCUCAAUUACAAUGGCCCAGUUCGUCACGACGAGACUGGGACCAGCGCAGAGCCACACCGACCGGGUCGUUUACCAAGUAGUCCACAGGGCGCGUGUUAGC